GAAGCAUGUCCAUGAUUAAAUCUGUAUGCUGGCUUAUUUGAGUGACUAUUCUCUGAUUGCGGUUUCCUCAGUCCUACUUCUUCCUCUUCAUCUACUUUUCUUUUUUUCUUUUCUUUUUUCUUCCCUUUCCUUCCUUUCUUUUUUGUUUAGAGAAGCCCUUUCAAUAUUUCCUUUAACCUGGGUUUUGUGUUGCUGUAUUCUUUCAUUUUUAGUUUAUUUUGUGAAAAGUUUUCAUUUCCCCUUCUAUUUGAAAUGAUAUUCUUGCUCGAUAGAGUAUUCUAGGUUGCAUAUUUUUUCCUUUGAGCACUUUAAAUAUCUCUUGCCAUUCCCUCCUGGCCUGUAGUGUUUCUGUAGAGAAAUCCGCUGAUAUGCUUAUGGGGGUUCCCUUGUAGGGAACAUUCUGUUUUUCUCUUGCUGCCUUUAGGAUCCUCUCUUUAUCCCUAACUUUUGCCAUUUGUAUUAUGAUGUGUCUUGGUGUGGGUCUGUUUGGGUUCAGUUUGUUUGGGGCCCUCUGUGCUUCUUGUAUCUUGAACCCAAUACCCUUUAGAUUUGGGAAGUUUCCAGGGAUAAUUUCUUCAAAGAUAUUUUCCAUUCCCUUAUCUUUUUCCCCUCCUUCUGGAAUUCCUAUUAUGCAUAGAUUGGCCUGCUUUUAUUAUCCCAUAGGUCUCUUAUAUUGCUUUCCAGUUUUUUUGCUUCGGUUUUCUGUCUGUUGACCGGAUGGAGUGAUUUCCAUUAUUCUAUCUUCCAUAUCACUAAUUCGUUCUUCUGCAUUAUUCAUUCUGGUUUUUACUGCUGCUAGUUCAGUUUGCAUCUCUGCCAAUGAAUGUUCUAGUUUUUCAUGGCUGCUCCUUAUAUUUUCUAGUUCCUUUCUGAGGGUAUCUGCAUUACUGUUCCUAUCUUCUCUUAAUUCCUUCAGUAUUCUCACUAUUUCUCUUUUGAACUCCAGGUCUGUCUGACUGCCGAGAUCUGUUUCAUUGUUGACUGUUUUAGGUGAGUCCUCCUGUUGGUUUGACUGGGGGUGGUUUCUCAGCUUCUUCAUCUUUCUUGUUGUUUUCUUUCUCCUGAGGGAGUUGUACUCUCUGUGAAUGGGCAGUGUUUGCCUUGUCACUGCCGUGGAAUAUUUCCUGCGGGGUGGCACGGUUGGUCAAUCUUUUUUGAGGCAGUGUGGCUUUUCUGGAGUGUUGAUGGGGCUAACAGUGUUUCUUUGAAGCAAAGGAGGACUUCCUGAGGGCAGAGAGGACUGGGAGGUCCACACCACGAUGGUAGCAGAAUUCACUUGGUCAUGCAGAGCUUGCUCUGGUGUUUUGAGGCUGUGGGGUUCUUGCAGGGGGUUGGCGGUGUUGGGCAGCUGCUCCUCAGGGGUGCAGCACCCCCUGGGGGCUGGAGCAGCUAUCUGGGUCACUGAGCACAUAAGAGGCUCUUCCCUAGGGCAGCCCAACUCAGAAGGACAGCCUGAGAAUGUAGGCGGAUAUUUUCACAGUCUGGCCGAGCUUGUUGCGUGUUUUCUGGGCUGCAGGAGCUCUUCCAGGGGGCUGGUGGUGCUGAGCAGUUAUUUCAUGGGAGUGGGGCACCCCCUGGGGGCUUGAGGGAGUAGCAGGGCCGUUGGAGACCCAAGCGGCUCCUCCCCAGGGCAGCCUGAGUCAGAAAAACCUGCUGAGAUAUUUUCCCAACUCGGCCAGGCUUGUUGCAGCUUUUCUGGGCUGCAGGGGGUCGUGCCUGGAGCUGGUAGUCCUAUGCACCUGAUCCAUGAGAGAUUCCCUUGGGGGCUUGGGCGGGUAGCAGGGCUGUUGGAAACCCAAGAGGCUCCUCCCCAGGUCAACCCGACUCCAAAAAACCGUCCGAGAACUAGGCCGAUCUAUUCACAACCUGGCUAAGCUUGUUCUAGCUUUUCUGGGCUGCAGGCCUUUCCUUAGGGGCUGGUGGUGUUUGGUGCUACUCUGUGGAAGUGUAGCCACUCCAAAGCGCAAGCAGGCCUGUUCAGGGACAGCCCCUGCGGUGGUAGGCUUCAGGCAAUUGUUGAGUCCAGCCCUCCUGGAUGGCAGGCAGCCCCAGGUCCGUGAGAGCGUAGGGGGUGGCUGGGGUGGGGGGAGGGGAUGCACUGGGAAGCACAGCUUUCAGCUAGCUAGCGGGCCUGUAAGCUUGCUGUGGCAUGGGGGGUAUUCUAAGGGGACCCACCCCUUCUUCUCUCCCCUCCCCAGCAUGGGUGCAGACCACGCUCUUCUUCCAGGUUCCCUCUGAUGCGGCUUUCCACUUCCCCACUCCUAGAGUACUCUUCCCUUCCUCUGCGACAGCUUUGUUUUCUAGUCUCCCAGGCAGUCUCUGCGCCGUCAAAUGGUUCUAGACCUCCCAAGCAGUUUCCGUUCAGCCACGCCCCCCCAGCCAGGGGAAUAACCUCUGUUGCUGAACUCUCGGUGCCCAGCCCCCACCCAGGAGUCCCCCGGCCCCCUCUUGGGGACUAACAUCUGGAGCUGAGGUCUUGGUGCCAAGGCCCAUCCAGACGUCUCCCGCCCAACCCAGGUGUACCAUCUGCACCCUCUCAGGGACUAACCUCUGGAGCUGAAGUCUCAGUGUACAGCCCCCACCCAGGCGACUCCCGGCCCUUUCUCGGGGACUGACCUCUGGAGCAAAGGAUUCGGUGCCCAGGCCCCAACCAAGCAUCUCAAAUUUUGGUGACUGUGCCGGUAGUUCAGAUCGUCCGUUGGGUUCUUGAUCAGAUUUUCCCUACACCAUCUUACUGCUACACUCUUCUUGCAUCUGAGAUUCUUCCGGUUCGUUUGGUCUUUCCCCCCGUAGGUGACUUUCCAGGGUGCAUAAUAUCUUUCUAUCCCGCAGUUGCCUUUCGUGGGCGCCCGUCCCGCUCGGAUUCACCUUCUCUCAAUCUCAACUUUUCUCCCGUUCUGCCCAAUAAUUUCAAGAACUUCUUGACAUUAUUGGAGUUUAGGUUCCCCUGCCAGCGAUUGGUUGCUGUUAUGUGUGAGUCACUUAUUCUGUAGAUGAGACUUUUGUGUGUUUGUGGGAGAGGAUGAGCGUGUCCCCCUACUCCUCCACCAUCCUGUUCUCUCUCUAGCGAGUGGGUCUUUUUCAAUCACAUAUUUUCUUUCCAAAUGAGAAUGUAGAGAGUGUAUUCACGGGAAGCAGUUCUUGAACCACCGUGUUGAGCCUGACACACGCUCAGGGGAAGAGACAUUCUUCUGUAGAGAGCAGGUGGGUUCAGAGGAGGAGGAGGUGCCUUCCAUCUGAGAAGUUCAGGCCCAAUGGUUGGCAGGGCAAUGGCAUGAUGCCCACCAAACAUUGUGACACCACUGACCCUCUGUGAGCAGAGAAGCGAGUGAUGGGCCCAAAGUGGGAAGCUCUCACCGUCACCCUUCAAUUAUUGUAUAUCGGGCAGCCUGAGCUCAUGAUCUGGAGGUAUGUUGAUACUAAAUUAAAGGAGGAUCCAUUGGAUGUAUUGGACAAUUGGAUGAUAAGUAUUCUUUCCAGCAUUCUUCACAUGGCCAUCAUUUUUAUCAGGCUCCAGAGUAAAGAGCCACUGCUCAGGCUUGCUUUUCGAUUAUGAUAUAUCUGAAAGGGACCAGUGAGCUUAUCACUUCCAGUCUUUUCCAACAGGGGACAAAAGACUCCUAAGUAUGACUGGGAUGAUAAAUCACAUUCCAGAGCUCAAACCAUGAAAAUAGGCCCCUCGGCCUUCAACCAAGGACGAGACCCUCAAUAUAAAACCUGAGGAAAUAUUGGAAUGUGGGGAAGGACCAUUCCCUGUUUCGGAACAUAGAUGUCAAUAGAUGAAAGCACAUACUAGCUAUCCACAGUAACAAAUUUCCCGAGAAUGAAGCUGGGAUACUUCUGGUGGGUAUUUCACAGGUUGAUAAGAAUACGUCCUGUCUAAAGGGGUGCAGGAUGGAAGUGGGGUGACUAGUUCCACUGCUGGCUUGUUUGUGGGGUACACAAUUGUCAGGCAUUUCAGGAGUCUUUCUUCUUCUCCUCCGUGAGCCCUGUGUUGAGGGCUACAUGGGCAGGUCUUGAGGUUUCCCUCUUGGACGAGAGGGUCCUCUCCCUGCCAAUUGAGGAUCUAGAGAAGGAGGAGGAUUGUCCCAAAUGGAGACUGGUUUUAGAGGACCGAAUCCUUGCACUGUGUCCGGCUGUCACUCAGACCCUGCUGAAGGGUGCUCAGACCCCUGCUUAUAUGCCAAUUCACUGAGACAUGGAGAGGCAGAGACUUCAUUUCCGAACUCGUUUUAGAAAGAGUCGAGAGAUCCACCUCACCAGCAACUUCCGAGACCUGAUCAAAAAAGUUGGGUGUGCUGCAGAGAAGUGAAUUCUCACUCGGUCCCUUAUGUGUAGGUCGUUGAAAAGAGUUGAUAUCGGAGUCAAAUCUGUGACCAUGUAGAACGCAGUACAAUUGGGAUGGUUAUCUGUCAGUGUGAAGGGCUGACAAUGGUAAGAUAGCGGUACAAUAUAUGAGACGGAAUAUAUCCAUACAAACAGAGGAGUUAUUUCAGGAAAUAUGUUUUCAUAUUUGAAAGGAGUUUGGAAGACUGAUGGAAAAUCUUGGUUAAAGAAUUUGAUUGCUCCCCUGGCUGAGAUAUGCCAACCUGGACCAACACAGAUAACCUUGGAUGAGGAGGAUUCGAGAGCAUUUGAAGGAAGAAGAAGCCGAGAGAGACAGUGGGAGAGAGAGAGAGGGAGAUGACAAUUGGAUACAAGCAACAUUCCGGGGACAAUUUAAAUCACAAGCCCUUGUCUGUGUUUCUGGGAACUAUUAGACACAAAGGCUAUAUCAGGACUCUUGCAAGAGAUUUUCAAUCGUUCUUGGUCUGUCUCUAGAAAUAUGUCAGCUGCAAGCAGUCCUCGCUGCUUGACACCCAUGUCUUCUCAAGGGACACGAGGUGUGGGUUAAGUUAAAUGACAAGCUAUAUUUUCCCUAAGCCGAUAAUACCAUUCCUACUGAAAUGGCAGCUCAUGGGUGUCCUUCCUCAGUCGUUCCUUGAUGUCACUGUCCAGGAGAUUUUGUUUGGGUGGUUGGAAUGACAACAUUUCUCUCCAAAUAAAAUUUUACGGUGUAUUAUAUGUGAGGCAGUGACUAAGAAAGCACUUGACCUUGAAGUGCUACACAUGUUAUCAGAGAUUCAUCAUGAUAGAGAAAAUAGAGUUCCCAAGGCAGUGGAGUUGCCUUCCUUCUGAAAGGUGCAGUCCCAGAGGGGGCCAUGGCACUGAUAUGAUGCCCAUGGAGCCUUGUGCCCAAACAACUAAUCUGUGAGAAAAGAGGUGUGUGAUGGGCCAUAUAUGGGACAUUCUCAACCUCAAACCUUGAGAGUUCAAUGAUGGACACCAGGAGCUCUUGCUCUGGAGGAAUGUCGAAGUUGAUGGAAUGGAGGGUCCAUCAGAUUGGUGAUCCUCUUGGAUGAACAAUAUUAUGUCCAUCUGUAGAUUCAUAGCCACCACUCUCAUCAGGCUCCCAAGCUAAAUGUGGAUUC
rnacentral:lncRNA from 9 species